rnacentral:rRNA from 1 species
UAAACUAGGAUUAGAUACCCUAUUAUUCUUUAUGUUAUGUUCACCUGAGUAGUAUUAGUUAUGUUCUUUAAACUCAAAGAAUUUGGCGGUGUUUUAGUCUUUUCAGAGGAACUUGUCCCUUCAUCGAUAUUCCCCGUUUUAUCUUGCUUUAUUUUGUUUUCAGUAUGUAUAUCGCCGUUAUAGGUUUAUUUUACUAGAUUUAUUUACUUUACUUUUUAUUAGAAUUUAUUUCAGGUCAAGGUGCAGCUUAUAUUAAAGUGGAGAUGAGUUACAGUAUUAUUUGUGUAAUAUGGAUUUAAACUUAAAAUUUUAAUGAAGGUGGAUUUGAUAGUAAUUUUAAAUAUAGAUUUAUUUUGAUUUCAGCUCUAAAAUGAGUACACAUCG